rnacentral:rRNA from 1 species
CCCUUAGAUGUUCUGGGCUGCACGCGCGUUACACUGAUGCAUUCAACGAGCUUAUAACCUUGGCCGAGAGGCCUGGGCAAUCUUGUUAACGUGCAUCGUGAUAGGGAUAGAUUAUUGAAAUUAUUAAUCUUGAACGAGGAAUUCCUAGUAAACGCAGAUCAUCAAUCUGCAUUGAUUACGUCCCUGCCCUUUGUACACACCGCCCGUCGCACCUACCGAUUGGAUGGUCCGGUGAAGCCUCGGGAUUGUGGUUCUUGCCGCUUUAUUGUGGCGUGACCGCGAGAACUUGUCUAAACCUUAUCAUCUAGAGGAAGGUGAAGUCGUAACA